rnacentral:rRNA from 1 species
AUUGAACGCUGGCGGAAUGCUUUACACAUGCAAGUCGAACGGCAGCACGGGGGCAACCCUGGUGGCGAGUGGCGAACGGGUGAGUAAUACAUCGGAACGUGCCCGGUCGUGGGAGAUAACGUAGCGAAAGUUACGCUAAUACCGCAUACGAUCUGAGGAUGAAAGCGGGGGACCUUCGGGCCUCGCGCGAUCGGAGCGGCCGAUGUCAGAUUAGGUAGUUGGUGGGGUAAAGGCCUACCAAGCCGACGAUCUGUAGCUGGUCUGAGAGGACGACCAGCCACACUGGGACUGAGACACGGCCCAGACUCCUACGGGAGGCAGCAGUGGGGAAUUUUGGACAAUGGACGCAAGCCUGAUCCAGCCAUUCCGCGUGCAGGACGAAGGCCUUCGGGUUGUAAACUGCUUUUGUAUGGAACGAAAAGGCUCUGGCUAAUACCUGGGGCUCAUGACGGCACCGUAAGAAUAAACACCGGCUAACUACGU